GGGCUCGUAGUUUAGUGGCUACGUCUUAAGGGCGCUGCAGAUAACGUCCCGUUGACGUCGGGAAGGUCUCCGGUUCGAGUCCGGACGGGCCCA
rnacentral:tRNA from 1 species